CGAAGGGGGCUAGCGUUGUUCGGAAUUACUGGGCGUAAAGCGAACGUAGGCGGUGUUCCAUGUCAGAGGUGAAAGCCUGGGGCUCAACUCCAGAAUUGCCUUUGAAACGGGAACGCUUGAGUCCGAGAGAGGGUGGCGGAAUUCCUAGUGUAGAGGUGAAAUUCGUAGAUAUUAGGAAGAACACCAGUGGCGAAGGCGGCCACCUGGCUCGGUACUGACGCUCAGGUUCGAAAGCGUGGGGAGCAAACAGGAUUAGAUACCCUGGUAGUCCACGCCGUAAACGAUGAGUGCUAGUUGUUGGGAAGUUUACUUCUCAGUGACGCAGCUAACGCGAUAAGCACUCCGCCUGGGGAGUACGGCCGCAAGGUUA
rnacentral:rRNA from 1 species